rnacentral:rRNA from 1 species
GACGAACGCUGGCGGCGUGCUUAACACAUGCAAGUCGAACGGAAAGGCCCUGCUUUUGUGGGGUGCUCGAGUGGCGAACGGGUGAGUAACACGUGAGUAACCUGCCCUUGACUUUGGGAUAACUUCAGGAAACUGGGGCUAAUACCGGAUAGGAGCUCCUGCUGCAUGGUGGGGGUUGGAAAGUUUCGGCGGUUGGGGAUGGACUCGCGGCUUAUCAGCUUGUUGGUGGGGUAGUGGCUUACCAAGGCUUUGACGGGUAGCCGGCAUGGGAGGGUGACCGGCCACAUUGGUACUGAGAUACGGCCCAGACUCCAACGGGAGGCAGAAGUGGGGAAUAUUGCACAAUGGGCUGAAGCCUGAUGCAGCAACGCCGCGUGCGGGAUGACGGCCUUCGGGUUGUAAACCGCUUUCGCCUGUGACGAAGCGUGAGUGACGGUAAUGGGUAAAGAAGCACCGGCUAACUACGUG